UACAGAGGGUGCGAGCGUUAAUCGGAAUUACUGGGCGUAAAGCGUGCGUAGACGGCUAUCUAAGUCGGGUGUGAAAGCCCUGGGCUCAACCUGGGAAUUGCAUUGGAUACUGGCAGGCUAGAGUGCGGUAGAGGAUGGCGGAAUUCCCGGUGUAGCAGUGAAAUGCGUAGAGAUCGGGAGGAACAUCUGUGGCGAAGGCGGCCAUCUGGACCAGCACUGACACUGAGGCACGAAAGCGUGGGGAGCAAACAGG
rnacentral:rRNA from 1 species